GGAGGAUACCGCUAAGUGGUCGGCAACUGGUCUUGUAGCUUGCUUCCUGUAGGGUAAACCAGGGUAGUCCUUGACUAGGGGUUCGAUUCCUCUAUCCUCCG
rnacentral:tRNA from 1 species